GGACCCGCACAAGUAGUGGAGCAUGUGGUUUAAUUCGAAGAUACGCGCAGAACCUUACCAACACUUGACAUGUUCGUCGCGACUCUAAGAGAUUAGAGUUUUCGGUUCGGCCGGACGAAACACAGGUGCUGCAUGGCUGUCGUCAGCUCGUGUCGUGAGAUGUUGGGUUAAGUCCCGCAACGAGCGCAACCCUCACUUUUAGUUGCCAUCAUUUAGUUGGGGACUCUGGAGAGACUGCCCGUGUAAGCGAGGAGGAAGGCGGGGACGACGUCAAAUCAUCAUGGCCUUUAUGCCUAGGGCUACACACGUGCUACAAUGGCAGGUACAGAGGGCAGCGAAGUCGCGAGGCUAAGCAAA
rnacentral:rRNA from 1 species